rnacentral:lncRNA from 1 species
GGCAUGCCACAGCUCCUCUAGGCUCUGAACCCCUCUCAGCUGAGCCUGGUAGAUGCCAGCUGACCGGCUGCAGCCCCUGAGUAGAGGUUGGCUGUCCUAGCAAUAGAGUAGGGCGGGGGCACAGCAGACAUGGGACCAUCAUCUGGAUUCCUAGACGUGCAACUGCAAGUUUGGGAUGUGAUGGAGAACGAGCUGCACAAGUCUCUGGGCUCCUGUAAAAGAUUGGUUGCAGAAAUGUCCUCAGAGUUGUUGGGAGGAUUCAAUAGAAGAUGCAUGCAAAGCACCUGGCUGAAUGCCCAGAGCCCUGCAGACACUCAGGAAUGAGCUUAGAAGAAAUAAAGGAAAUAUCCCAGGAGCAAAAACAAAACACACACAUGCUCCUCUCAAGAGUCACUGGCAUCCCAGCUGAAAAGUCAGCUCUACACCUAUGGGACCUAUGGGCCUGUUUCUGAGCUCUGUUUUGUCUCUUUGGUCUGAGUGUCUAUCUGAGGCCAAUACCACAGUACCAAAUGCGAUUGCUUUAGAGGAAGUCUUGAAAUCAGAUGAGG